rnacentral:rRNA from 1 species
UACGGAGGGAGCAAGCGUUAUUCGGAAUCACUGGGCGUAAAGGACGCGUAGGCGGGUUUCUAAGUCAGGUGUGAAAUCCUAUGGCUCAACCAUAGAACUGCACUUGAAACUGGGAACCUAGAGUAUGGAAGGGGCAGAUGGAAUUAGUGGUGUAGGGGUAAAAUCCGUAGAUAUCACUAGGAAUACCGAAAGCGAAGGCGAUCUGCUGGGACAUUACUGACGCUAAGGCGUGAAAGCGUGGGGAGCAAACAGG